CUCUUAUCAUGAGAGGUGGAGGGACUGGCCCGAUGAAGCCCAGCAACCGCCAAGCAGCAAAUCGCUUGGAAAAGGUGCUAAUUCCUGCAAAGCGAUGCUUUGAGAGAUGAGAG
rnacentral:ncRNA from 18 species